AAGUGUAAAAAUUCCAACUGGUGGUAG
rnacentral:sRNA from 1 species